rnacentral:rRNA from 1 species
UACGUAGGGUGCGAGCGUUUGUCCGGAAUUAUUGGGCGUAAAGAGCUUGUAGGUGGCUCGUUGCGUCGGGAGUGAAAACCUGCGGCUUAACCGCAGGCCUGCUUCCGAUACGGGCGAGCUAGAGUUCGGCAGGGGAGACUGGAAUUCCUGGUGUAGCGGUGGAAUGCGCAGAUAUCAGGAGGAACACCGGUGGCGAAGGCGGGUCUCUGGGCCGAUACUGACACUGAGAAGCGAAAAGCGUGGGGAGCGAACAGG